AGCAGCCGCGGUAAUUCCAGCUCCAAUAGCGUAUAUUAAAGUUGUUGCAGUUAAAAAGCUCGUAGUUGAAUUUCGGGGUUAGUAGGCUGGUCGUGCCACAGGUAUGCACUGGUCUUACUGAUUCCUCCUUCCUGAUGAACCGUAAUGCCAUUAAUUUGGUGUUGCGGGGAGUCUGGACUGUUACUUUGAAAAAAUUAGAGUGUUUAAAGCAGGCUUACGCUUGAAUACAUUAGCAUGGAAUAACGAAAUAGGACGUUCGAUCCUAUUUUGUUGGUUUCUAGGAUUGACGUAAUGAUUAAUAGGGAUAGUUGGGGGCAUUAGUAUUCAAUUGUCAGAGGUGAAAUUCUUGGAUUUAUUGAAGACUAACUACUGCGAAAGCAUUUGCCAAGGAUGUUUUCAUUAAUCAAGAACGAAAGUUAGGGGAUCGAAGACGAUCAGAUACCGUCGUAGUCUUAACCAUAAACUAUGCCGACUAGGGAUCGGAUGAUGUUAAUUUUUUAAUGACUCAUUCGGCGCCUUACG
rnacentral:rRNA from 1 species